rfam:Hymenolepis nana genome assembly, scaffold: HNAJ_contig0006556
GGUGUGCGAUAGACUUACCUCCUCGUGGUGCACCCUGGGCAACGUUUUUUUAAAUCGGCAAAAAAGUCUAU